AGGAGAAAUGGGAUCAGAGGGAAUGAGUGCUAGAAACAGAUCCAGAGGGAAGGGAGCAUUCAUCGCAACCCUAAGCUCAGUGUUGCCAUCGUCACCAGGAAGCCUUUGGAGGGACCUUCACCAAUAGCCUUAUCUAUUCAUUCUAUAAUCUUCGACCAACUCUCAGAGGGCACUUCAUCAUAACUUCGCACUCUUAUACCGAAAGUUAGUUAAGUAAGAUUUUGAGGCUUUAAGAGUUGCUGCCACUUCAAGCACCAGAAAUUUGGAGCUGUUGAAAAGUUUCGAAGCUGGUUUGGCUAUUGACUACACAAAGGAUCUGAUUCUGCAACUGCAAGUAAGUAACCUUGAUUCCAUACUUCCAUAUUUGUUGGAUUUUUUAUAAUGAUAAGUUGAAGUUGGAGUUGGAAGUAUAAUGAUAAGUUGGAGUUGGAAGUAUCCGUUUAGGAAUGUUUUAGUAAUUGACAAAUUUUGACAAGAAAAUGGAAUGAGAGAAUGAGCAAGAUGUAGUUUAUCAUGGAUAUAGUAUCUUGUAUUCUUCACUAGCUUAGCUUCACUUUAUCACUUGUAUAUCUAUAUGGAGUUUCAUUAAUACCUUCAAAUAUUUUUUGGGAACCAAUUCCUUACUACAGUAAAUUAUAGUUAUCUAUAAAAGAAAUUAAUGAAUAUCGUGUGUCAAAAAAUGUAUAAUAUAGA